UCCCGCUCCCUGAUUGGCCAUCCGCUUCCCCUGAGCAAACCUUUAGAACUCUGAGACAGACAAUAUUCUGUUACAUUGUAGCAAAAUGGCGACUGUCAUUCACAACCCCCUGAAAGCGCUUGGGGAUCAGUUCUACAAGGAAGCCAUUGAACAUUGCCGUAGCUACAACUCGAGGCUAUGCGCUGAACGUAGUGUGCGUCUCCCCUUCCUUGACUCCCAGACUGGCGUCGCCCAGAACAACUGCUAUAUCUGGAUGGAAAAGAGGCAUCGGGGACCAGGCUUAGCUCCAGGGCAGCUGUACACAUACCCUGCCCGCUGCUGGCGCAAGAAGAGGCGACUGCACCCGCCUGAAGAUCCCAAGCUGAGGCUGCUGGAGAUAAAGCCUGAAGUGGAUCUGCCCCUAAAGAAAGAUGGAUUCACAUCAGAAAGUACCACACUGGAAGCCUUAUUACGAGGUGAAGGGAUUGAGAAAAAAGUGGAUGCCAAAGAAGAGGAGAGCAUCCAGGAAAUACAGAGGGUUCUGGAAAAUGAUGAAAACGUAGAAGAAGUGAAUGAAGAGGAAGAUUUAGAAGAAGAUACUCCUAAACGAAAGAACAGGACCAGAGGACGGGCCCGUGGUUCUGCAGGUGGCAGGAGAAGGAAUGAUGCUGCCUCUCAGGAAGACCAAGAUAAACCGUACGUCUGUGAUAAUAGUUACAAACAAAAGCAUAACCCCAAAACCUCCGACAAAGUCUGUGGCAAACGUUACAAGAACCGGCCAGGGCUCAGCUAUCAUUAUGCUCACACACACCUAGCCAGUGAAGAAGGGGAUGAAGCCCGGGAGCAAGAGACUCGGUCCCCCCCUGUCCACAGAAAUGAAAACCACAGACAUGCAGAAACUCAGAUGAAGUCCAGAGAAGUAAAGGUGACUGAAGUAGCAAGUGAUAGAGCCCAGAAAGGACCAGAUGGGACUGUUAUUCCCAAUAAUUACUGUGACUUCUGCUUGGGAGGUUCAAGCAUGAACAAAAAAAGUGGCCGGCCAGAAGAACUAGUGUCCUGUGCUGACUGUGGACGCUCUGCUCAUUUGGGAGGAGAAGGCAGGAAGGAGAAGGAGGCGGUGGCCGCAGCGCGAAGUACGGAGGACUUGUUCGGUUCCACGUCUGAAAGUGACACCUCAACUUUCCACGGCUUUGACGAGGAUGAUUUGGAAGAGCCUCGCUCCAGUCGAGGAGGACGCUACAGUGGCAGGGGCUCUCCCACGGCAGAUAAAAAAGGCGGCUGCUAAAUCCAUUCAACAAACUCUGGCCCAUGGGCGGUAGCCCUUUGUACUUUGGUUGUUGUUCUGGUCCCAUUAAAAAAAAAUAGAACUUUAGAUUACCUCUUCUCUCCCACCCACCACCUUCCCUGCCUUUUCCUCACAUCCUCCAUAUUCUCAUGUCCCUUUCCCUUUCCCUCCACACUCCUCCCUCUCAUUACAAGUUUUGGUGAUAUAUACCAAAAGCACAAACUUUAAAAAUUCAGAAAACUCAAAAGAUGACUCCCUCUCUCCUCAGAGAGAACUUCAAUUUAAAGAUUUUUCUUCUGGAAAUCAGAAAUCAUGUUGGUUAUUUUUUGGGAACAAACAGCUAGGGUAUGUACAUCUUCCCUAAACCAUUAAAAAAUUUAAGUGGAGUCAUGUUUUUCAUUUUUUCAUAUUUAUUGGCAAAAUGAUGAGAACACUAACAGACAGGUUGGAGAAAAACAACCAACAGAAAUAAGGUUUUAAAAAUUAUUAUUUAUACAAUCUAGAUAUUAUUAGAAAUAGAUUCUUUUAAAAAUAAAUCAACUUAAUACCAUCCCAUCUAGGGGAGGAAAAGGCACUGGAAGGAGAAUUGUCCCAAGGAAACUUAGUUAGGGUGACUUCUGUGAUGUGAAAUUUUUGAUUUGGUGUCCCAUUCGAUGUCUGUGGAUCCUCACCCCAUCCAGCAGUCACACCUCUCCCUUCUUUCCCUUUCCUUCUUUGCCCUUCCCCUUCUUCCUUGACAGCCCCUGUCAGUUUGGAAGCCACAGCAGCUCUGGAGAAGUGACAGGACGGGAAAGGCCAGGUUUCCAUGCAUCCACCUUCAGACACCUCAGUAUCCAUCCAAAAGCAAUCGCCUCCUCUUCAGCUCCUCCUCAGGCAAUGCUGCUGGCUUUUCCUAAAAAAAAAAAAAAUAAAAAAAAAUUGUUUUCUUCUUCUCACUUCUCCUGUGGGUGAAGAGCAAUGUCCAAGGGCAGGAAUGGAAUAGAAGUGGAAUAUUUGGAACUCAACAUUGAUGAAACAGCCAGAGGACAUGAAUCCUAGAAGAAAUGAAAAGGAAAUAUACCUCACUUGUACAUUUCCCAUCCCAUUUUAGAAAAUGUACAUAAAUACCCUUUGGAUUGUCAGGCCGUCCGUAUUUCUUCUUUAUUCUCCUUCUUCUUCUUUUUUUAUAUGUAUAUAGUGCCGGCCAGGCACCUUGUUUUAUGUUUCCAAUAGCACAUCCCGAAAUUAACCAAAGCAAUACUUGCUCAACUUUCCUGGGCGACAGAGAAGAGAAGUCACCUCUCUGAUUGGCUGUCCCAAGAAAGAACAGAUGAGCAGUCCUCAUUCAAAAGUCGACUCUCUGUGCUCUGGGGACUCCGACAUCCUUCAAGCAAGCCAUUUCUGAAGAAGGUGAAAAGAAGCCAGGAUGAUUUGAACCUCCUUCUUCUCCUCCUCAUUCUUCUUCUUCUUCUCCUCCUCCUCUUCCUCUUCCCUUUGCCUGGCCCCUUCCCAUGCCUGUGUUUCAACUAACACAGGAACCUGGACCAUGGAAAACCCUCCUGCUCUGCUCAGAGAAUUCUUGGAAAGGGCCUAAGCUUGUGCAAUAAGAAGAAUUUUUUUUUAACCUUUGAUUUUGGUUCCUUUAAGUGUCUGUGAAAAAGUACCCAGGUCAGACUGGAAUUGCUCUACAAUAGAAGUAACUGAAUACAAACUGAAAAAAAAGUUAACUAUUUUAUUUAUUUCAAUAUUUAAAAGGAAAAAAAAGUGCUGACCUUGCACAGUAUUUUUGUUUAAAGUACAUUGUACUUCAAAAGAUAAAAGCAGGUUUGUGAAGAAGUGAAAUCAAAAAAGCACUUAAUGUAAAAUAAAGACAAUAUUAACGUUAAGAAAGAAACCACGUUUUUAUUACGAAAAUAAAGAUCAACUCUGCUCCCUCAUGCUUUUAAGGAAGCCAUUCAUGUAUGUGCUCUAGGUAUUUUUAUUUCUGCAAGUUGGAUAUGGUGGUAAGUGAGGAGUGUUUUUUUCUCUUAUUUUUAUUCCCUCAAAGUCACUUGAAUCAAUAUUGACUAUGUACUAAAAAAAAAAAACCCAAAACAAAACAAAUCCCCCAAAUUUGACUGAAGUGAAUUAGCCAUGGGAUGAUCAACAAGCCCUGCCCCCAAACAAGCCCCAUUUUGUGCGAAAACAAAGAAGCAAGCUGGCACCCAGCUGUGGAUUUUCAUGGGGCUUUAACACAAUUGCAUCCAAGAAAUGAAAAAUCUCUAUCCAUUCUAGUAGUUAUGAUACUUUAAAAAAUUCAGAAAUAAAACUAAAGAUCAUUUGAAAUUAGAGCACCAUUCUAUUUUUUUUUUUAAAUUCAGAAAUAAAACUAAGGAUCAUCAGAAAUUGAAGCAUUACUGGUUUCCCACAUUUUGGGGGUGGUAAUCUUUCAUGUCUCUGUAGAAAUGCUUAGCAAAGAUCUCAUGGUGCAGAGCUGGCCUGAAGCACCUGUAGUGCAAAUGGAAGGUCGGGUUCAGCAAGAACAAAGAAAGGUCUGAGUAACCAAAAUGCCAAAUUCAGGUUCCUGUUGGGGGCAGAGAGUGCAAGGCUAGAGUGCUAAUAGUUAUUAUAAUAAUAUGAUUAAAAUAUUAUGAUGAUUUUAUAAUAACUAUUAAUAACAUUAUUAUUAUAAGAUAUAAACUAUUAUAAUAACAGAAGAAAAACAACAAUAAUAACAAUGAAAGCUAGCAUCUGUGUAGUGCUUUAAGGUUUGCAAAGUGCUAUACAUAUGUUAUUUCAUUUGAUUUGAAUACUUUGUCAUGUGGUCCUGCCAAUGGAGUUAAAAAAUAAUAAUCAUUUGAGUAAUAUUUUAAUAUUGUGCAAAUGGCCUUAUGAAUGGAUCUGGACUGAAGUGUCUGGAUUACUAGGUUUACCCCAGUUUGAUUACAAGCAUGGCCUCUUUACACUUCUGUGCUAUUGAAUGUCCUUCCCUUGUAAUAAUAGGAAUGGCAAUAAACAUACAAUUUGUUUGACACUGGAA